CAUUAGUGCAUUGUAGUUGCAUUGCAUGUUAUCUCGAAGUGCAGUGUUUCUUCAGUGCAAUUAAUG
rnacentral:pre_miRNA from 1 species